rnacentral:rRNA from 1 species
UUUAUGGAGAGUUUGAUCCUGGCUCAGGACGAACGCUGGCGGCGUGCCUAAUACAUGCAAGUCGAGCGAAC